AGCUUUGCGCAGUGGCAGUAUCGUAGCCAAUGAGGUUUAUCCGAGGCGCGAUUAUUGCUAAUUGGAACUUGGGAACAUCUGCAGACAAAAGUGUGCCCCAAACAGCAGCCUGUGUCAGUCUUAAUCACUAUGGGAAUGAUACUAUUAACUACAACAAGCACUUUUAACUAAAGGAAUUUCAAGGCUACAACCAGC
rnacentral:snRNA from 1 species